GAUGAACGCUAGCUACAGGCUUAACACAUGCAAGUCGCGGGGCAGCAUGGGGGUUGCUUGCAAUCCCCGAUGGCGGCCGGCGCACGGGUGAGUAACGCGUAUCCAACCUGCCCUUCACCACGGGAUAACCCGGCGAAAGUCGGACUAAUACCGUAUGUUGUCCAUUGACGGCAUCCGAUUUGGACGAAAGGCUUGGCGGUGAGGGAUGGGGAUGCGUCCGAUUAGCCAGACGGCGGGGUAACGGCCCACCGUGGCUACGAUCGGUAGGGGUUCUGAGAGGAAGGUCCCCCACACUGGAACUGAGACACGGUCCAGACUCCUACGGGAGGCAGCAGUGAGGAAUAUUGAUCAAUGGGCGUAAGCCUGAACCAGCCAAGUAGCGUGCAGGAUGACGGCCCUAUGGGUUGUAAACUGCUUUUAUGCGGGGAUAAAGUGGCCCACGUGUGGGCUUUUGCAGGUACCGCAUGAAUAAGGACCGGCUAAUUCCGUG
rnacentral:rRNA from 1 species